AAAUUGAAGAGUUUGAUCAUGGCUCAGAUUGAACGCUGGCGGCAGGCCUAACACAUGCAAGUCGAGCGGUAGCACAGAGAGCUUGCUCUCGGGUGACGAGCGGCGGACGGGUGAGUAAUGUCUGGGAAACUGCCUGAUGGAGGGGGAUAACUACUGGAAACGGUAGCUAAUACCGCAUAACGUCGCAAGACCAAAGUGGGGGACCUUCGGGCCUCAUGCCAUCAGAUGUGCCCAGAUGGGAUUAGCUAGUAGGUGGGGUAACGGCUCACCUAGGCGACGAUCCCUAGCUGGUCUGAGAGGAUGACCAGCCACACUGGAACUGAGACACGGUCCAGACUCCUACGGGAGGCAGCAGUGGGGAAUAUUGCACAAUGGGCGCAAGCCUGAUGCAGCCAUGCCGCGUGUGUGAAGAAGGCCUUCGGGUUGUAAAGCACUUUCAGCGGGGAGGAAGGCGUUAAGGUUAAUAACCUCAUCGAUUGACGUUACCCGCAGAAGAAGCACCGGCUAACUCCGUGCCAGCAGCCGCGGUAAUACGGAGGGUGCAAGCGUUAAUCGGAAUUACUGGGCGUAAAGCGCACGCAGGCGGUCUGUCAAGUCGGAUGUGAAAUCCCCGGGCUCAACCUGGGAACUGCAUUCGAAACUGGCAGGCUAGAGUCUUGUAGAGGGGGGUAGAAUUCCAGGUGUAGCGGUGAAAUGCGUAGAGAUCUGGAGGAAUACCGGUGGCGAAGGCGGCCCCCUGGACAAAGACUGACGCUCAGGUGCGAAAGCGUGGGGAGCAAACAGGAUUAGAUACCCUGGUAGUCCACGCCGUAAACGAUGUCGAUUUGGAGGUUGUGCCCUUGAGGCGUGGCUUCCGGAGCUAACGCGUUAAAUCGACCGCCUGGGGAGUACGGCCGCAAGGUUAAAACUCAAAUGAAUUGACGGGGGCCCGCACAAGCGGUGGAGCAUGUGGUUUAAUUCGAUGCAACGCGAAGAACCUUACCUGGUCUUGACAUCCACAGAACUUUCCAGAGAUGGAUUGGUGCCUUCGGGAACUGUGAGACAGGUGCUGCAUGGCUGUCGUCAGCUCGUGUUGUGAAAUGUUGGGUUAAGUCCCGCAACGAGCGCAACCCUUAUCCUUUGUUGCCAGCGGUUCGGCCGGGAACUCAAAGGAGACUGCCAGUGAUAAACUGGAGGAAGGUGGGGAUGACGUCAAGUCAUCAUGGCCCUUACGACCAGGGCUACACACGUGCUACAAUGGCAUAUACAAAGAGAAGCGACCUCGCGAGAGCAAGCGGACCUCAUAAAGUAUGUCGUAGUCCGGAUUGGAGUCUGCAACUCGACUCCAUGAAGUCGGAAUCGCUAGUAAUCGUAGAUCAGAAUGCUACGGUGAAUACGUUCCCGGGCCUUGUACACACCGCCCGUCACACCAUGGGAGUGGGUUGCAAAAGAAGUAGGUAGCUUAACCUUCGGGAGGGCGCUUACCACUUUGUGAUUCAUGACUGGGGUGAAGUCGUAACAAGGUAACCGUAGGGGAACCUGCGGUUGGAUCACCUCCUUA
rnacentral:rRNA from 1 species